rnacentral:rRNA from 1 species
UACGUAGGGUGCGAGCGUUGUCCGGAAUUAUUGGGCGUAAAGAGCUUGUAGGCGGUUUGUCGCGUCUGCCGUGAAAAUCCGGGGCUCAACCCCGGACUUGCGGUGGGUACGGGCAGACUAGAGUGUGGUAGGGGAGACGUGGAAUUCCUGGUGUAGCGGUGAAAUGCGCAGAUAUCAGGAGGAACACCGAGUGGCAAGGCGGCUCUGGGCCCGAC